rnacentral:rRNA from 1 species
GACGAACGCUGGCGGCGUGCUUAACACAUGCAAGUCGAACGGAAAGGCCCUGCUAUUGUGGGGUGCCCGAGGGGCGAACGGGUGAGUAACACGAGAGUAACCUGCCCUUGACUUUGGGAUAACUUCAGGAAACUGGGGCUAAUACCGGAUAGGAGCUCAUGCUGCAUUGAGGGGGUUGGAAAGUUUCGGCGGGUGGGGAUGGACGCGCGGGUUACCAGCUAGUUGGUGGGGGAGUGGCAGACCAAGGCUUAGACGGGUAGCCGGCCUGGGAGGGUGAACGGCCACCUUGGUACUGCGGUACGGACCAGACUCCAACGGUGGGCAGCAGUCGGAAGUCUUGCCCAAUGGGCGGACGCCUGAUGCGGCGGCGCCGCGUGCGGGAAGACGGCCUUCGGGUUGUAAACAGCUUUCGCCUGUGACGAAGCGUGAGUGACGGUAAUGAGUAAAGAAGCACCGGCUAACUACGUG